UCGUGCUAGAUGGGGAGUUAGCGGUGCCCUGUACCCGCAAUCCGCUACAGCGGGAUUGAUUACUUCCUGAGGCAUUAAUGAAUAUAUCCAAUGUUAGUUAUUUGAUGUUGAUGUUCUGACUCUGAGCGGCAAGAUUAUAUGAAUUCCGUCAGGUCUGGAAGGAAGCAGCGGUAAAUAUGAAAUUGGGUGCCUUAGAUUAAUCGGAGUAGAGUUGGAUGAUUAAUACGUUAUAUAAAUGAUUGUCGAAGGAAGUUGCACGG
rnacentral:SRP_RNA from 2 species